GGUGGAGCCUGCGCUGUGACGCGGCCGCGCUGGCCGUAGACCCCGGAUCCCUGGAAUGUGCAUUCGUUCCACGAGGCCCUAGUGCCAGCGGCGCCGAGGCACGUCUGCGCGGAGCGUGCGCACUCGCGGCGGCGGCCGCCCACGGCCCCGCGCCCACGUCACGCGCCCGCCGCGCAUACCUACAUAAGGCAGCCGGGGCGACUGGCGCGGCGAGGCCCCCGAUGAACAGGGCGGGCUGGACGGGGCUAAGAGCGGCACUUGGUGUUCGGGAGAGGCUAGUCCGAACCGCGCUCCCUCCCCUCCAGAGGGCUCCGUGGAAAACGCGCGAGCCAGCUGGCGGCGUGUGCACGUGGUGCUGGGCUUGGGAAUAUUCACAGUCUCCCUAGUUAGUAAAAGGGACAGGCGGGGCGUAUGUCCUUUCCAAGACAAAUGCAAAGCACCAGUGACGGAUUUCAUGCUAUGUGUCCGACAUUGAGCUUUCAAGUAUAACUCCUAAAAAACCAGAACUGUGAACCACGCUAGACCUAAAUUCCCCAUUCUCAGGAGACUGACGGAAACCAAGUGACAAAGUGUCCUUGCAUAAAAGAAAAAAAAUGAUUUUUAGCACGAUUUGGCCCAGAGGCACACCAGAGGAAAACAUCCUGAGGGUGGUCGGGACAGCCGGGUGGGGCGCGAAGUGAGGGAAAGUGGAGGAAAAGCACUCGAUCACUUUGCGCGGUGUUCCGAAGGGAACACCGGCGCUGCGCUGCUGCGCUGCCCCGCGGGCGGGCGGGCGCCGCGUAGCCGGCUCUCCCGGCAGCGCUCCUUCGGCGCGCGGGGGGAGGGGGAGCGCGCGCGCGGGAGGGCGGGCACGCGCACGAGGGGAGGGGGCCCGCGCAGGCGCCGUGCGAGACUGUCGAAGAAUCAAGUCUGUAGAAGUGGAGCGGUCGCGGCGGCAGCAGCAGCAGCGACGGUGGCGGCGGCGGAGCUGAGGCGGGCUGGCCGCUGACGCUGGCGCUGGAGAGCGGCGACGCCAGGAGCUGUGAGAGAGCGGCGGAGCGACCCGGGGCCCGCGCCGCGCCCGAGCUCCACGCCGCCCGGCCGCCGCCACCCCGGCGCGGCAUGCCCC
rnacentral:lncRNA from 1 species